ACGGGUGAGUAACGCGUAGGUGACCUGCCCCAAGGUAGGGGAUAACUGCUCGAAAGGGCAGCUAAUACCGCAUACGAUCGGAUAUUCGAUUAUCCGAUGAAAGGCUUCGGUCGCUUUGGGAGGGGCCUGCGUCCGAUUAGCUGGUUGGUGGGGUAACGGCCCACCAAGGCGACGAUCGGUAGCUGGUCUGAGAGGAUGGUCAGCCACACUGGCACUGAGAUACGGGCCAG
rnacentral:rRNA from 1 species